CAGCAGGUCAUCCCCUCACGUAAACAUUUACAUUCUUGUAUCGGCUCUGCCACACGGACGCGGCGGUAAACAAGCACAAUAGUGUAAUGGCCUCUGCAUUGCAGUAGCGGGACCAUCGCUCUGUGGACGACAUCGGCAUGGGCGAAACACACACACACACACACACACACCAGAUGAGAGAGGAAGAGGAUGAUAAGAAGGUGGACUAAAGAGGAUACGAGGAGAUUUGAGCGAGGAGGAGAUGAAAAGGGAGGAGAGAGAUCAGCGAGCCGGCGUUCGCUGGCUUAAGGCAGCCCGAGGACUCGCUAAUUUGUGCGAGGACGAAGAGGAGAAGGAAGAGGAGGACAAGCUUCUGUAGGUGGGCAGGCCGAAAAGAGAGGCUACGCUAUUUGAAACAAAACACCGGUUUGAGUGGUUUUCCAGUGACAAGAUGCCUCUGACAGGACCCAACUAAAAUUCCGAUUGUCGGAUGUGUCUUAAAAACCAUUUGGAGUGAUUAUCCUGUGGUGUGGGAUGUGUUUAGGACGGCUCCAUGGCUGAGCUUGGAAAACCACCGCCCACGUCACCCUUCUCACCGAGUCAUCAGGCACCCCGCAUGGACUCGAGCAAGGCGAAUAUGGGCGUCAUCAUGGUCGAGAUCAUGCGGCAUGAGCAGGAG